rnacentral:rRNA from 1 species
ACCCNAUUAUUCUACAAAGAAGAAAAGUAAAGGUAGUAGGUGAUUAAGUUUUUGAAACCUAAAGGAUUUGGCGGCAUCUUAAGUAAUUUAGGGAGCCUGUCUUUGGAUCGUUACUACGCGUUUUACCUUGCCUGUAAUUUGCUUAUAUAUCGCCGUUAAUUUCAAAGAGAGAGUUUAAGGGAGUGGAAGUUUUAUUCUGAAUAUCAGGUCAACGUAUAGCAUUUUAAGGGUAGGAUUGGCUMCAGUAUAAUUAUGCGGAGUUAACAUGUAAUAAGUUCUYUCACAAUGGGCCCGUCAGUCUAUCAUAUCGCCCAACRCUCUC